GGGAGUGUAGCUCAGUGGUAGAGCACAUACUCAGCAUGUGUGAGGUCCUGGGUUCGAUCCUCAGUACCUCCA
rnacentral:tRNA from 1 species